GAUGAACGCUGGCGGCGUGCCUAAUACAUGCAAGUCGAGCGAACAGACGAGGAGCUUGCUCCUCUGACGUUAGCGGCGGACGGGUGAGUAACACGUGGAUAACCUACCUAUAAGACUUGGAUAACUUCGGGAAACCGGAGCUAAUACCGGAUAAUAUAUUGAACCGCAUGGUUCAAUAGUGAAAGACGGUUUUGCUGUCACUUAUAGAUGGAUCCGCGCCGCAUUAGCUAGUUGGUAAGGUAACGGCUUACCAAGGCAACGAUGCGUAGCCGACCUGAGAGGGUGAUCGGACACACUGGAACUGAGACACGGUCCAGACUCCUACGGGAGGCAGCAGUAGGGAAUCUUCCGCAAUGGGCGAAAGCCUGACGGAGCAACGCCGCGUGAGUGAUGAAGGUCUUCGGAUCGUAAAACUCUGUUAUUAGGGAAGAACAAAUGUGUAAGUAACUAUGCACGUCUUGACGGUACCUAAUCAGAAAGCCACGGCUAACUACGUG
rnacentral:rRNA from 1 species